rnacentral:lncRNA from 1 species
GGAUCGGCAGAAGAAGACCAACGGGUUCUUGACUCUGCCGAUCAGAUCCGGCGUCGGGCCAUCACGGCUAUCGAUACCCUUUUGGGUAAUCUGUAAAACACUGACCGUUUUGUACGAACAUUUACUGCCGUCUUUGACUGACCUUUCGUGAUGCCUUCUAUUUACUGCCUCCCUUAUUACCGAUGGGAUGUGGCCUCAACAAAUUUCACUGUAUUUCCCCAUAAAUAUCGACCCCGGCGCUUCCUCCCGAUAACAUUGAUUUGGC